GCGGGUGUAGCUCAAUGGUAGAGCAUCGGCCUUCCAAGCCGAGUACGUGGGUUCGAUUCCCAUCACCCGCUCCA
rnacentral:tRNA from 6 species